GCGCCCGUAGCUCAGCUGGAUAGAGCGACGGCCUCCGGAGCCGUAGGUCGCAGGUUCGAAUCCUGCCGGGCGUGCCA
rnacentral:tRNA from 1 species